GUUUAACCGUAGAAAUCAUAUUUCCUUAUUUCAGUUCAUCAGAAAAUUAACAAUUCACAUCAUAUUUCUGAAAUAUGCGAAGUCUGUGUGUUGAAAAGUUAUAAUAGAUAGUUCUGUACCAUUAAGAUGAAACUGAAAUCUUAAAAAAAAGAAGACUAGUUUCAGAUUAUUACUGUUGUAGAAUUUUCUAAAAUUGACCACUAAUAUAAAUGUAACUAUGAAUUAUGAAUAUGAU
rnacentral:lncRNA from 1 species